ACUUUAGUCCAGGUGUCGCACUUUAGUCCAGGUGUCGCACUUUAGUCCAGGUGUCGCACUUUAGUCCAGGUGUCGCACUUUAGUCCAGGUGUCGCACUUUAGUCCAGGUGUCACACAGAGCACUUUAGUCCAGGUGUCACACAGAGCACUUUAGUCCAGGUGUCACACAGAGCACUUUAGUCCAGGUGUCACACAGAGCACUUUAGUCCAGGUGUCACACAGAGCACUUUAGUCCAGGUGUCACACAGAGCACUUUAGUCCAGGUGUCACACAGAGCAGUUUAGUCCAGGUGUCACACAGAGCAGUUUAGUCCAGGUGUCACACAGAGCAGUUUAGUCCAGGUGUAUCACAGAGCAGUUUAGUCCAGGUGUCACACAGAGCAAUUUAGUCCAGGUGUAUCACAGAGCAGUUUAGUCCAGGUGUAUCACAGAGCAGUUUAGUCCAGGUGUAUCACAGAGCAGUUUAGUCCAGGUGUAUCACAGAGCACUUUAGUCCAGGUGUAUCACAGAGCACUUUAGUCCAGGUGUAUCACAGAGCACUUUAGUCCAGGUGUAUCACACAGCAGUUUAGUCCAGGUGUAACACACAGCAGUUUAGUCCAGGUGUAACACACAGCAGUUUAGUCCAGGUGUAACACACAGCAGUUUAGUCCAGGUGUCACACAGAGCAGUUUAGUCCAGGUGUAACACAGAGCACUUUAGUCCAGGUGUCACACAGAGCAGUUUAGUCCAGGUGUAUCACAGAGCAGUUUAGUCCAGGUGUCACACACAGCAGUUUAGUCCAGGUGUCACACAGAGCAGUUUAGUCCAGGUGUAUCACAGAGCAGUUUAGUCCAGGUGUAUCACAGAGCAGUUUAGUCCAGGUGUCACACAGAGCAGUUUAGUUCAGGUGUAUCACAGAGCAGUUUAGUCCAAGUGUCACACAGAGCAGUUUA